rfam:TPA: Bos taurus chromosome 4, whole genome shotgun sequence.
UCCCUGGUGGCUCAGUUGGUAAAGAAUCCACCUGCAAUGUGGGAGACCUGGGUUUGAUUCCUGGGUUGGGAA